AGUCGAGCGAGCUUGCCUAGAUGAAUUUGGUGCUUGCACCAGAUGAAACUAGAUACAAGCGAGCGGCGGACGGGUGAGUAACACGUGGGUAACCUGCCCAAGAGACUGGGAUAACACCUGGAAACAGAUGCUAAUACCGGAUAACAACACUAGACGCAUGUCUAGAGUUUAAAAGAUGGUUCUGCUAUCACUCUUGGAUGGACCUGCGGUGCAUUAGCUAGUUGGUAAGGUAACGGCUUACCAAGGCAAUGAUGCAUAGCCGAGUUGAGAGACUGAUCGGCCACAUUGGGACUGAGACACGGCCCAAACUCUUACGGGAGGCAGCAGUAGGGAAUCUUCCACAAUGGACGCAAGUCUGAUGGAGCAACGCCGCGUGAGUGAAGAAGGGCUUCGGCUCGUAAAGCUCUGUUGGUAGUGAAGAAAGAUAGAGGUAGUAACUGGCCUUUAUUUGACGGUAAUUACUUAGAAAGUCACGGCUAACUACGUGCCAGCAGCCGCGGUAAUACGUAGGUGGCAAGCGUUGUCCGGAUUUAUUGGGCGUAAAGCGAGUGCAGGCGGUUCAAUAAGUCUGAUGUGAAAGCCUUCGGCUCAACCGGAGAAUUGCAUCAGAAACUGUUGAACUUGAGUGCAGAAGAGGAGAGUGGAACUCCAUGUGUAGCGGUGGAAUGCGUAGAUAUAUGGAAGAACACCAGUGGCGAAGGCGGCUCUCUGGUCUGCGACUGACGCUGAGGCUCGAAAGCAUGGGUAGCGAACAGGAUUAGAUACCCUGGUAGUCCAUGCCGUANACGAUGAGUGCUAAGUGUUGGAAGGUUUCCGCCUCUCAGUGCUG
rnacentral:rRNA from 1 species